GACGAACGCUGGCGGCGUGCUUAACACAUGCAAGUCGAACGGAAAGGCCCUGCUUUUGUGGGGUGCUCGAGUGGCGAACGGGUGAGUAACACGUGAGUAACCUGCCCUUGACUUUGGGAUAACUUCAGGAAACUGGGGCUAAUACCGGAUAGGAGCUCCUGAUGCAUGGUGGGGGUUGGAAAGUUUCGGCGGUUGGGGCUGGACUCGCGGCUUAUCCGCUGGUUGGUGGGGUAGUGGCUUACCAAGGCUUUGACGGGUAGCCGGCCUGAGAGGGUGACCGGGGACCAUGGGACUGCGAUACGGCGCAGACGCCUAUGGGAGGCAGUAGUGGGGAAUAUGGCACAAUGGGCGGAAGCCUGAGGCAGCAGCGCCGCGUGCGUGAUGACGGCUUUCGGGUUGUAAACCGCUUUCGCAUGUGACGAAGCGUGCGUGACGGUAAUGGGUCAAGAAGCACCGGCUAACUACGUG
rnacentral:rRNA from 1 species